rnacentral:rRNA from 1 species
AGGACGAACGCUGGCGGCGUGCUUAACACAUGCAAGUCGAGCGGAAAGGCCCUUCGGGGUACUCGAGCGGCGAACGGGUGAGUAACACGUGAGCAACCUGCCCUCAGCUCUGGGAUAGCUCCCGGAAAACGGGAAUUAAUACCGGAUAUGACCCUGACCGACAUCUGUCAGGGUGGAAAGGUUUACCGGCUGAGGAUGGACUCGCGGCCUAUCAGCUAGUUGGUGGGGUAACGCCUACCAAGGCGACGACGGGUAGCCGGCCUGAGAGGGCGACCGGCCACACUGGGACUGAGACACGGCCCAGACUCCUACGGGAGGCAGCAGUGGGGAAUAUUGCGCAAUGGGCGAAAGCCUGACGCAGCGACGCCGCGUGGGGGAUGAAGGCCUUCGGGUUGUAAACCCUUUCAGCAGGACGAAGCGAGAGUGACGGUACUGCAGAAGAAGCGCGGCUAACUACGUGCAGCAGCCGC